rnacentral:rRNA from 1 species
CCUACGGGAGGCAGCAGUGAGGAAUAUUGCUCAAUGGGCGCGACCCUGAACCAGCCACGUCGCGUGAAGGAUGACUGCCCUACGGGUUGUAAACUUCUUUUAUAAAGGAAUAAAGCGAGGCACGUGUGCCUUUUUGUAUGUCCUUUAUGAAUAAGGAUCGGCUAAAUCCGUGCCAGCAGCCGCGGUAAUACGGAGGACGCGAGCGUUAACCGGAUUUAGUGGGUUUAAAGGGAGCGUAGAGGGGUUGUUAAGUCAGUUGUGAAAGUUUGCGGCUCAACCGUAAAAUUGCAAUUGAUACUGGCAGCCUUGAGUACAGGUGAGGUAGGCGGAAUUCGUGGUGUAGCGGUGAAAUGCUUAGAUAUCACGAAGAACUCCGAUGGCGAAGGCAGCUUACUAAACUGCCACUGACGUUGAUGCUCGAAAGUGUGGGUAGCAAACAGGAUUAGAUACCCGGGUAGUC